rnacentral:rRNA from 1 species
AACGAACGCUGGCGGCAGGCUUAACACAUGCAAGUCGAGCGCCCCGCAAGGGGAGCGGCAGACGGGUGAGUAACGCGUGGGAAUCUACCGUGCCCUACGGAAUAGCUCCGGGGAACUGGAAUUAAUACCGUAUACGCCCUACGGGGGCAAGAUUUAUCAGGGUAUGAUGAGCCCGCGUUGGAUUAGCUAGUUGGUGGGGUAAAGGCCUACCAAGGCGACGAUCCAUACCUGGUCUGAGAGGAUGAUCAGCCACAUUGGGACUGAUACACGGCCCAAACUCUUACGGGAGGCAGCAGUGGGGAAUAUUGGACAAUGGGCGCAAGCCUGAUCCAGCCAUGCCGCGUGAGUGAUGAAGGUCUUAGGAUUGUAAAGCUCUUUCACCGGUGAAGAUAAUGACGGUAACCGGAGAAGAAGCCCCGGCUAACUUCGUGCCAGCCGCCGCCGUAA